AGUGAAGAAGGGAAUGAGGGACGGAAAGAGAGAGACAGCGAAGAGAGGAGAAAGCUCUUAGCAUAUGAAACUGCAGCUAGGACUAAAACCAGAGGAAGGCACACAGAAUCUUGACUGCUCUUCAGAAAUACAUGGCACUCCGUUAAAAUGAAGAUUUUUGCUGCUCACUCCAGAAAUAUUGAAUCAAAACGUGGAGCAGGAGACAGGCAAGGCCAGUGAAGGAGUGUGGCUCCGAUAGGAUUGACAACUACUACCUUAGAUGAUGAAUCAAGCUCAGAAGGGAUCCCUCUGGAUUUCCCUGCGGUGAAGAAACCGAGGCAAUGAACAAAGUAAUAUACCCAAGAUCACAUUGCCAGUGAAUGGGAGAGCUGACGUUUCAAUCUACACAGAACCUGUGCUCUUAGCUAUCUAACCGCUUUACUUGGAAGUGAUGUGAGAUUAAAAAAAGAAGAAAAACAAAAUAUUUUCUUAUGCUUUCAAAAAGUUCAAAAUUAAUAAGGGAACCGUUUCUCCAUGGGGACAGGAGCUUCUGGAAGGCUGGACCCAAUCAUUACAGGCUCAGUCCAGGGCCUUUCCUUCACACCAACUACUGCAGGUACAAACUGUCUAACUGAUCCAGUUCUUAUUUAACUUGUCUCAGUUACUUCGACUUUAUCACUCACUCAGAGAUAAGACAACUGUCAGUCCUCUGAGCCUAAGCUAAGCCAUCAUAUCCCCUGUGACCUGCACAUACACAUCCAGAUGGCCUGUUCCUGCCUUAACUGAUGACAUUAUCUUGUGAAAUUCCUUCUCCUGGCUCAUUCUGGCUCAAAAGCUCCCCUACUGAGCACCUUGUGACCCCCACUCCUGCCCACCAGAGAACAAACCCCCUUUUUCCUUUACCUACCCAAAUCCUAUAAAACGGCCCCACCCCUAUCUCCCUUCACUGACUCUCUAUUCGGACUCAGCCUGCCUGCACCCAGGUGAAAUAAACAGCCUUGUUGCUUACACAAAGCCUGUUUGGUGGUCUCUUCACACGGACGUGCGUGAAAUUUGGUGCUGUGACUGGAGGGGGGGAACCUCCCUUGGGAGAUCAAUCCCCUGUCCUCCUGCUCUUUGCUCUGUGAGAAAGAUCCACCUACGACCUCAGGUCCUCAGACCGACCAGCCCAAGAAACAUCUCACCAAUUUCAAAUCCGGUAAGCGGCCUCUUUUUACUGUCUUCUCGAACCUCUCUCGCUAUCCCUCAACCUCUUUC
rnacentral:lncRNA from 1 species